UUAAAAGUUUCAAAAACUGAUUUAUAGUUUUGCAAACUGCGGAAGUCAAGUUUGGUAAACAUAAGUGGAUAAACAGUUUUACAAUGAAGUAGAAACAGGUCUGAGCAUUGCACCGGAGUUGAAGGAAUUUGAUUAGUUUCAGCCAGCUGGAAAUAAUUUGUGCACAAGUCAAUCAAAAAAUCAUUUUUCAUAAUUUCCAGGUAGCAGUUGAUAAUGCAUAAAAUGUAUCUUUCAAGUACCUACACUAUCUGCAAAAAUGUUUUCUGUUGGGUACUCUGCCAGGCUAGAAUGCCUGCUCUGUACAGAGUUGGAUAUAGUUCAAUAUUCCACAGCAGUACCAGCCAAGUGUUAAGAUGAUGGAGUUGCUAUCCGCUUACUCAGGGCUCUGUUCAGUUUUGCAAAUAAGGAAUAUAGACAGCACUGACUGUGGCUCAGACUCCUUCGUCCUUUCAGUAGAGGUGGGCAUUUAUGUGUUUCACAAAUACUUGCAUUAGCAGGGUGAAUGGAUACAACAUAAUAAAGGUCACAGUCAAACAAAUGAGAAAUUACAAACAAAAAAAUCAAUUUAUUUUUUAUAUAUAUUUGUUUACAUAUUUGCAAUUGUAGAGCUCACACUUGAUAGAGAAAAUGUAGAAAACCCAGUGCUGUUUAUAACAUUGCCAAUGUAAGAAAAUGCAAUAGAAAAUAUUUAGUGUAACUUAACAGUUCUUUAUAUAAUCUCUGCGUAGAUAAAUUCAUACAGUAAUAAAACUGUAAGAGUACAAUAUAGUUAACAUAUUCCUUUGCGACGACACAUUCUUCCUCAUCCGUUAACUUUUGAAACUGAAGACAAGAUUGAAGAGUUAAUUUUGAAAGUGACUGCAGAUACUGCAGAUUAUGGUAUGGAUGAAAACUUUUCACUUUGCAGCUGGAUUUUAAAUGGUUUGAUGCCACUGCUUAAGUCAAAUAGACCAUGAACACAAAGGUUACAUAUCUUUUCAGAAUGGAUUAUCCCUUUGUAUUGGUUGCCAACUCCAGUGCAUUUAGAUUAAUGUUCCGAUGGAACUAUUCACCAUCCCACAGAGUAUGCAAUCUCACUAAACACUAAGAGAGAUAUCAUCAGAGACUUGAACUCUCCCCGACUACUGGCUUAUAGGCAUUUAAAUAACUGACCAUUUUUGUGACGUGGCAUUUUAUUGUCGUUCCAUGGAAAUGUACACUUAGUGUAAAAUCUGCUGCAUUUAGGUGUAGAAAACACUAGCAUUGGGUACCAACAACUUCAAGGAUGAGCAGGUCACACACAAUCACCUUCCUUGUGCUUUCCUCCAAUGGUGGCAUACACAUGUAUUUAUGCUCACAGGAAGGGCUGCACAACCUCACACACUACCUAUUUACAUUGUAUGCAGGGCUACGUCUAGACAGCCUCUCAUACGAUGAUGGUAAUAAAAAUAACAGCAACUUGUGGCUAUCCGUUAUUUGGAUGUGAUUACUUAUUACCAGGUAACUGCAAUAUAUGUUUAUUGCACAAAAUUGCCUAAAAAAAAUGCAGACCAUCAAGUGGACACAAAAGAAACAAUUAGGAUUCAGAUAUGGAACAUCCUUAAAUCCACUAAGGUGUUUUACUCCAAAUUAAGUACCUGAUGCCAAAUGCCUAGCACCUGAAGGUAAAUAAAGGUCAUUAAUACAAGUUAUACUUAUCUCACCAGUACAACAUAAUACAUUUCUUUACAUUAACCGUUUCAUAUAAAAUGUAUAUAUCCAUUUUUAUUUACAAAACUCUAAAUAGAGGAGAAUCAUAUGGCACAAGGCCCAACUCUCUCCUAAGUCAGAGUGUCAAACUCUUGUGAAGCAACUUAGAGAAAUGUAUCAGGCCGUACUAAGUGUGUUUUCUGAUAAUUAUUUGGCACAAUAUGAUUUACAAUGAUAACUACCUUUGUCGCUUCUGAACUGGAGUUUGGUCUCCUACGCAUUGUAUAUCCUAUGGAUGGGAAUAACAUAGGGCAGUGGUGUCAAACACUGCAUGUCUUUUCCCGGUGUUUUAAUUCACAUUACAUUGCUAUUGCGUUUUGUGGGGUUCCUGAGAAAGAAUGUGUUGUAAAACUGUAUUCCUCAACAUUUUUUGUGUGUGCAGACACAGUGUCCAACAUAACCAU